rnacentral:rRNA from 1 species
GAUGAACGCUGGCGGCGUGCCUAAUACAUGCAAGUCGAGCGAACAGACGAGGAGCUUGCUUCUCUGACGUUAGCGGCGGACGGGUGAGUAACACGUGGAUAACCUACCUAUAAGACUGGGAUAACUUCGGGAAACCGGAGCUAAUACCGGAUAAUAUAUUGAACCGCAUGGUUCAAUAGUGAAAGACGGUUUUGCUGUCACUUAUAGAUGGAUCCGCGCCGCAUUAGCUAGUUGGUAAGGUAACGGCUUACCAAGGCAACGAUGCGUAGCCGACCUGAGAGGGUGAUCGGCCACACUGGAACUGAGACACGGUCCAGACUCCUACGGGAGGCAGCAGUAGGGAAUCUUCCGCAAUGGGCGAAAGCCUGACGGAGCAACGCCGCGUGAGUGAUGAAGGUCUUCGGAUCUUAAAACUCUGUUAUUAGGGAAGAACAAAUGUGUAAGUAACUAUGCACGUCUUGACGGUACCUAAUCAGAAAGCCACGGCUAACUACGUG